CUAUGCACGCCUAAGGUUAAGAAGGACGAGCUGGCCGAGCUGGUCAGGCUGUGGGACAGGCUCAGGUUAAGAAGGCGAGCUGGUGAGCAGCGCACGAGACGCGGCCGAAUCGUGCAAGCAGUCGUGCCAGGAGAGCAAGGAGCAGGCCGGCGGGGUGAUGCACCAGACCGGGGAGAAGAUGAUGAACAUGGCUCGGGGGGCAACUGAUGCCAUCACGAAUGCUGUGGGCAUGGGAAGCAAAACCGGCACCACCAAGCAGUAAGCCGUUGCUCUCUAUUUCACGGGCUCAAUAUGUCCGCUAAUUAGUACCUCACCACAUCAUUUUCCACUCUGUUCCAAUUUUUUGUUCUCCUUUUAGAUGCUAAAUAAGAGAGCUCGGCCGUCAUCUUUUGAGUUUA